AGUGAUUGAGCUGUGUGGAGCCGGAUGACACACGUUUCGAUGCUAAGGUGCACCGGUACUGGACAAACUAUCACAGAAUGAGGAAUAAAUGUCUUGUAAGAAUGCAAGUUCAUCAAGCACACAGAAGUGAGAAUUUGGAGUAAAAGAAUGAUUGUUGAAUGCUGAUUAUUUAAAACAAAAAUAUUCUUAUUUGGUUACCUAGUCAGGUGUCGAUUUCAGAGAAACAUUUUUCAGGUAUGGCACUGUUACAAGCGCUCUGGUUACAGUGUCUUCCAGACAAAACCCAAACUGAGAGCGAGAGAAAUUUGUGAGCACAUUACAGUGAUGAAGAGAGCCGUCUAAAAGAUGGUCGAUUCAACGAGUGUGUUAAUAUUGGGGACUGGGUGUGUUGAUUUCUCGGUUCGUUCCGUCAUUGACUGUGCCGCCGCCGUCGUCGCUGCGUUCACGACAAGUCUUGUGUAAAUUUCUGUUGCUGGUGAGAUCAUACAUCUUUUUCUGUCUAGAACAUUUUGGACCACACCGCAGGACACAUCGGUGAAGAGUGCUUCUCGGGGUCUGCAAUAUCGAGUAAGUUCUGCUGAGGUCCUGUUUUAGACUGUAUACUGCUUCACCUAAGCUGGAAUUGGAUUAAGUGCAACACCGUCUGCGGAUUCCAUACACUUAGGACACAGAAUAAAAUACCAUUUAAGGUAAUACAACCCGGUGACCUAGCUCAUUGGCCUAAAUCGACUACGCGAGUGUUAUCUGCUGCAACCUCAGAAGGCGCUGCUGGAAAGUGUGUCCUAGUUACGGAUGAUAUGCAAGCUUGCAAUAUUGGUGCUAUUCAGUGAUAUAUUUCAGGAAGCAAAUUAACCAUUGAGAAUAUACAUAUGUGCAACUGUGAAUUGCUGAGCUUUGCUUUUUCUACCACCGAACGACUGCUUAAUAGAGAUAUAUGAUUUUCAUUAUUUGCUCGCCUGUCUGUGUUUGCAUCGGCUUUUGCGUUCAUGGUAUUCUUGCUCGCUCGUGCGGAUGGCAUUCUAAUUUUGGUGCUAAAGUGAAGAAUUCCGUCACAUCUCCAUAGUAGGCCGAUUGUGGAAAACCUUAAGUUCUAGAUUCGAAUGAAUAUUCAAACGCACGUUACAAUAAGUGAAAAUUCAACCAGGAAUUGAGUUGAGCCAAGUUGGAGCUAUUAUAGAGUUGGGCGUAGCAAAAAAAAGUUUGAACGAAAAAAAGGAAAGUGUAGAAUUUUAUUUUUGGAAAUCGUCAUUAGUGUACCAGUGGAUACUGUGUGUGUCACAUAUGUGUGUGGUAUCAUCCAACUCAGUUCGUAGCGUGUAUUAAAAAUACCACAGCUUGCCAUGGCACAGUGCAUGCCAUAGGCGACUAAGAGUGUGAAGCGCGAGAAAGUCUCGUUACUUUGAGGAAACGUGAAAUGAGCCAACUCGAAGAAUCGCAGCAGCCGCAGCAGAAGAUUUGUGUGAAAAAUCGUUAAGAGAUUUUAUGUAAUACUGAUAGUGCUCGUGGCUAAAACUCACUGUGACGAAAUUGAAAUUUGUUAACGGAUAAUAGCAUUCUGAUUUAUGAUCGCGUGCAUUGUGAUCAAGUCGUAUGGAAAACUUGUAAUAAACUCAACAUAAUUGCAUUCAAACGACGGCGGCGAAGUUUGCACAAUAUUGGAAUCACAAACGGCUUUGCUGUUGCAUGAUUCGAAUAUCAACCGAGACAAGGCUACAGCCAUACACAAAGCAUGUAAAAAUCAAGGAAUCACUUACGACUGUGAAGGAGUUGGCUUUAAUUACAUUGGAUAAUCGAUCAGAGUGAGUUAAGCAAAACACCGAGCGGACCAAACCAAUCCAUCUCAGUCCAACGUCCGUCGCCUAGUGUACAACCAGACCCCGAAGAGCCGAAACCACAAACCGACGCAAACAUGGUGAUAGGAGAGUCCACCAACAAUGGGGAGGCUGUGCCUCCACCACAGCAAUUUGCUCCCCAGAAGGCAACCAUCGAGAACAUAAUGAGUGGAAUUGAAAAUACCGGUACUGUGAAAAUGAAUAAUCACAGGAAAAAACUGAGACAACGAUUUGAUAUAAUCAAAAAGCUCGGCCAGGGCACGUACGGCAAGGUGCAAUUAGGUAUUAAUAAGGAAACCGGUCAGGAGGUCGCCAUCAAAACCAUCAAGAAAAGUAAAAUCGAAACCGAAGCGGACCUCAUUCGGAUACGAAGGGAAGUGCAAAUCAUGAGCUCAGUGCAGCAUCCCAACAUCAUACACAUCUACGAGGUUUUCGAGAACCGUGAAAAGAUGGUCCUAGUCAUGGAAUUCGCUGCUGGUGGUGAGCUGUACGACUAUCUGUCGGAGCGCAAGGUGCUCUCAGAGGAGGAAGCUCGGCGAAUUUUCCGUCAGGUCGCGACCGCCAUCUACUACUGUCAUAAGCACAAAAUCUGUCAUCGUGAUCUUAAGUUAGAAAAUAUACUCCUGGAUGAGAACGGCCACGCCAAAAUUGCUGACUUCGGUCUCUCCAAUGUAUUUGAUGAGCAAAGACUGCUGGCAACGUUCUGCGGUUCGCCGCUGUACGCAUCGCCGGAAAUUGUUAAAGGUACACCCUAUCUAGGACCGGAAGUAGAUUGCUGGUCCUUGGGUGUGUUGUUGUAUACUCUAGUCUACGGUGCAAUGCCAUUUGAUGGUGCCAACUUUAAAAGGCUUGUGAAGCAAAUUAGUCAAGGUGAUUACUUCGAACCGAAGAAACCAUCCCGGGCAUCUCCGCUGAUUCGGGAAAUGUUAACUGUUUGUCCACAGCGAAGAGCAAAUAUAGAACAAAUUUGUAACCAUUGGUGGGUGAAUGAGGGCUACGAAGGAUCAUGCCUAGAUCUAGCUGAAGAACUGGCUAACCAAACUCCAGUGCGAUUGGACGUGCUGCUUUCACUGGCACCACCAUCCGUAACUUCUGAUCAAGUCGUGGUGGGGAGUGGUCAGGAUGAAAAUAAGCCAAAAGAAAGAAUACAACGAAGUCAUUCUGUUGGAUCGAUUAUCGACAUGGGUGCUACUGAAGCCGAACGACGAAUAUUGGACAUGGUUGCUGCUGGUGGUGAAGCUGCCCUCAUGCCAUCUCCGACCCGUACUAUCACGCCCUCAGAAAGCAGUCCCGCACAGCCUAAACGAAAACUUGAACCGACGGUUUCUACCGAAAACGCAACCGGAGCAGUCAAGAAAAAAGAGAAGGCUUCUGACAGACUCAAACCUGACAAAUCUCAACCUGUGAUCCCUGAAGAUAUGGACGUUGAGCAGUCACCUUCGCCUCGUCCAAGCUCAACUUCUGAAAUGGAAACCCUUAAAUCCGACGUGGAGUCAAUUGAACAAGAAUCUAUUCCUAGCACGCCAAUUGCUGCACAAGAUGUUUUAGAAGAUUUACAAAAUCUUGAAAACAUGUGUGAUGAACUACUGCAAGAAACUGCCACUCCACCCGCUUCCAAAGCCACAACGCCCGAGGAUACAGCAUCGGCAAUCAACGAAGCACCUCCUUCUACCCCACCGACGCCAAAGGUCGAAUCGCCUCCUAAAACAGUUUCAGGCGUUAAAGCUAGACUGGAAAAACUUGAAAAGGCUGAUAAACAACCGGGAAAGGUUCCGUAUAAGAAAGUAUUCAGUAAAAAUAAAACUGUUGAUCUUAGUUCCGCAAUCAAUCAAGUAUCGAAGCAAGAUCAAGAAUUCGCACAAGUCAAAUCAGCUUCCAAUUUAGAACGGAAAAAUAGUCUUCCAGAAGAAAAUCUUACCAAACCAGCCGAACGACGAAAAUCCCGCAUUUUGGAAACCGCUGAGAAGUUCCAAAACAUGAACAAUCAAAACAACGACAAAUUCAAAAAGUUCUCUCUUCCUGGAAUUCCUACUGUUGGAAACUAUAAAAAGGAGUUCGAACGAAAGGCUUCCAUGAACAAUUCUGCUUCCUCGAGUUCAGCAUUCAGGCCAUCACCGUAUGAGAUGACGCGAAAAAUUGAAUCAGAAUACAAUUCUCCAGAUAACAGCUGCCAAAGCAGUGGAGCGGAUCUUCACACUCCUCUAUCGCCUAGUGACGAAAAAAUUGGCACUCGUGAUGCUAAGCUUGAGUCAGAAGAAGUCAAAGAGAGCGACUCCAAGAGCUCCGUCAGCAGUUUCUCACUCGAAGAAGCUAGACGGUCGAUGGAGAACUCAAUCGCAAUGCUCAGCAAAGUACGCCCGGAGGCCAACACAGUCGAUCAACUAUGUGCCAAGACGGAAACGGUGUCCAUGUCCGACGUUAAUGAGAGGGAACGAAAGCUGAAGAAUGCUCGAGAGAUCAUCAGCAACGCGAUUCCAAUUGGACGAUUGCGGAAGCCUCCAAUGCCAUUUGGCGCUAAUGGGCGGUCAGCUACAGGGGGAAUCAACCUCACUGGUUCGCAAUCCACUAAGCAGUUCCGAUUCGGACCCGACACGCCGGAGCCGAAGUUCGACACCAUGUCAGUGCCUAGAAAAGUAUCGGUUGGAAGCAUUUCUACACCACAGGGAGAUGAAACUAAAACAUCGCAUGCAGAAAUCACGCUCAAAUCAGCAACGUUACCGAGGAGGAAAAUCGGUAAAGUCGAUGUACAUGGAGAAUCGCAAACGAAGGCCGAAUCGACGACACCAGCAGCACAGCCGUCGUCGAUGCGAUUCUCUACCGAGAUGCAACAUCAAAUGCCAGACCUUCGCAGUGCACCGAUUCGAGAGCAUCCCAUCUCGUUCACCGUACAUCAACGUGCCAACAGCCUUGAGCCACAGAUCAAGGAACACACCAUCCCCAUUCAGAAGCCACCCACCUACCAGCGGACAACAUCGAAUGCAUUUGGUUCGUCGACGCGAGGCUCCCUUUCCCGUCAGUCUACCAACGAGUCUAACGAUUCGGACACUACAGCGUCUCAAAGCCAAAUUCCGCCUCUUCCAAGCAGUGUUGCGAGCAGCGGCGCCACCAUGCCCAUCAAGAAGAGCCCACGUGAGUUCAUAAUUCCUAUUGCAGUGGAAGGCGGUGGAUUUGUUACCCCACGUGCCAACAGUUUGGAACCAUCGGAAUCGAGCGCAACGACCACCUCUACUGGGUUCGGUUCAAAGGCACGCCUGGGACGACCACGCAAGAUAAGUUCCCUUCUAAGCGAAAAGGAUCCUGAAGAAGAAUCAUCGUUCCCAAGACUCAACCGACACACAUCGCUAGGCCGGGAGAGCGACUCUGAAGAGCCUCGUUUCCAUACAAUGCACAGACUGAGGAGUUCUCGUCCAUCCCAACGAGGAACGGUUGAACCGAAUGAUUCGGCCAGCUCCGGAGAGGAAGAUGACGACGAUGGCUUCGAAAUUUUGACGGCCGAAAAUCUUUUCUCUACACUUUUGUCCAGGGUUCGUGCACUUACCAAUCGGCUCAACGUCAACGAGCCGAACUCUUCCGGGUUUCCUUCGUCUCGUUUCAUGAGCGGCCUGAGACAAAAUCAGCCCUCGUUCUGGCAUCAUCAUGAUCCAUUUUCAAGCCCGCAUUACACAUAUUCAUACAGGAACGAAACCAUCGAAACGAAGGACGUCCGAUUGAAUGGAGGAAAUUCCAACGCCUGGCGGCACAGUAUGUCCCGUGAUCUCAGCUCGGACAUCGAUUCCAUGUUCUCGCGCUCUGGCGCCACGCUUCCUAGAGUGGGGUUCCGCGUAACGUUAUCGCAUGCACCAAAUACCAGUAGGGGUAAUUUGCAACCGGGAGCUACUUCCACGCCAAGUGCAAAUACUUCUAUUACCAAUACUACCACAACUACUACUACUAGUACCACACCAUCAGAGAACACAUAAAUCGAACAUGGUGAACGGUUAAGUCCUCCUACUCUUCCCGCCAGACAGACAGAACUAAAUACAGACCACAAUUCAAAAAAACAAUUUUGAUGUAGCUCAUAACAAAUCCGAAGGUUUGAGUCUCAAUAACAAUAGCAACAAUAAUAAUCUGUCAUCCACAAUGUCAUCGUCCUAUAGAAAUGGUAGCAACAGUAGAACAGAUGCAUAUCAGACUAGUUACGGAAACAGUAGCAAUAGCAAUAGUAAUUUGAUUAACAAUAACUGUUCUAACCAUGAUAGCCGAAGCAAUAUCGAAAACCUGUACGAAAAUGGCGAAGAAGUCUUAGAUUUGGGCGAUCUAGACCUGUCGCAGUUGCGAUUAUCAAAGAAAGACCUAGAGGCGCUUUCCAGUAUCACGCCAUCGUUGUCGCAACGUGUACAGGAGCAACUCUUAGCCCAGCUUCCUCCACAACAAGCCAAAAAGCUUUCCAGAACCUUGUCAAUGCAAAAUGGAAACAAUAUAUCCAAUCCCUACUCAAGCACAACUAAAGUAUAUAAACGCAGCUCAAGCAGUAGUGCAGGCCGUACCGUAGACGACUCUAGAGACAGUAUUACACCUACGAACGACAUGUUCGACAAUGAUGUGUACCUCCAGAAGAUAUCGUCGAAGAAGCUAGACCGGAGCUCACGCAGUUCCAGCAACUCAAGAGAUAUCGCAUCACCACCUCCACUUCCACCACCUAAUUUCAAUGACGAUUAUGGAACAUCUUCAUCAUCUCGUUUUCCCUACGCAAACGAGAAUCAUGAACGAUUCCGAUCAUACGAGAAGUACACACCCUACCUAACGAACUCCCACAACGAUUCAGAACACGAACGAAGCAAAUCUCUUGAAUACGACAAGAAGUUCAGUUGCUAUGAAUCGCUCCCUCCACGCACAUCUUGCCUUAGCCCUACAAACGAAAGCUAUGGUAGACCGCCAAGCGGUUGUAUUUCUCCCCCACCCAUAUCCACGUCGUCCGGAUAUUCCAGCCAACGUUCGACACGACGAAUCUCCAGGUUCCUGCGUCCGGACUUUUUUGAUCCACCAAAAGAAUCCAGUGACCAGGAGAAGCUGAAAAGAGAGCAAGAAACCCAAAACAUUUUAAGAGAAAUACGGGGAAAAAGCCGUGAGCGAAGUGUAGAUCGUAGCUUUAGUUCAGAAUACACGGAUAAAAGUUCUGAUCGCUUGAACUACUUUAUUCAGAAAUAUCAAAAAGACAAUAGCACAGAGAGUAGCAAUCUAUACAGAUAUAAUAGUAGCGAACGAAACGAAGUGUUAGUUCCACCAAGAGACAGUCAUGAUCAACGAAAUCGAAGAAGUAUAUCCAGACCGAGAGAAGUUGUGGAUUCCAAUAUUGCAGUACUAGAUAAAAUAACAGCAAGCAGUACAUUCGCCGAAAAAAUACUUGACGAACUUCACAACUUA